rnacentral:misc_RNA from 1 species
UAGCUGUUGGAGACCCAUUUGUC